rnacentral:rRNA from 1 species
GUAGGGAAUAUUGGGCAAUGGAGGCAACUCUGACCCAGCCAUGCCGCGUGCAGGAUGACGGCCCUCUGGGUUGUAAACUGCUUUUAUACGGGAAGAAAAAAUACUACGUGUAGUAUACUGACGGUACCGUAAGAAUAAGGAUCGGCUAACUCCGUGCCAGCAGCCGCGGUAAUACGGAGGAUCCAAGCGUUGUCCGGAUUUAUUGGGUUUAAAGGGUGCGUAGGCGGAUCUUUAAGUCAGUGGUGAAAGCCUGCAGCUUAACUGUAGAAUUGCCGUUGAAACUGAAGAUCUUGAAUGUGGUUAAAGUAGGCGGAAUGUAUCAUGUAGCGGUGAAAUGCUUAGAUAUGAUACAGAACACCGAUAGCGAAGGCAGCUUGCUGAACCAUUAUUGACGCUGAGGCACGAAAGCGUGGGGAGCGAACAGGAUUAGAUACCCGGGUAGUCC